UACGGGGGGGGCAAGCGUUGUUCGGAAUUACUGGGCGUAAAGGGCUCGUAGGCGGCCAACUAAGUCGGAUGUGAAAUCCCCAGGCUCAACCUGGGAACUGCAUCCGAUACUGGAUGGCUUGAAUUCGGGAGAGGGAUGUGGAAUUCCAGGUGUAGCGGUGAAAUGCGUAGAUAUCGGAAGGAACGCCCGUGGCGAAAGCGAGGUCCUGGACGCCUACUGACGCUGAGACGCGAAAGCCAGGGGAGCGAACGGG
rnacentral:rRNA from 1 species